UCGUUUUCUGAGUGCACGCUCAGAAAUUUUCCGUUAUUGAAGAAAGAGUCCGUAGACCGCGUCGGUCAACUUGACGUCGCAGCAAUAUGGCGGCGCACGCGGAGAAAGCUUGUAUCACUCAGCUGGUUCGGGGGGUUUCCAGUCGGUGGAGUUGAUGAGUCAGGAGUCAUGAG